CACGGGGGGAGCAAGCGUUGUUCGGAAUCACUGGGCGUAAAGGGCGUGUAGGCGGUCAAGUAAGUGGAAUGUGAAAGCCCCCGGCUUACCCGGGGAUCUGCAUCCCAAACUGCUUGGCUUGAGUACGGGAGAGGAUAGGGGAAUUCCUGGUGUAGCGGUGAAAUGCGUAGAUAUCAGGAGGAACACCGGUGGCGAAGGCUCCUAUCUGGCCCGAUACUGACGCUGAGGCGCGAAAGCUAGGGGAGCAAACGGG
rnacentral:rRNA from 1 species